rnacentral:rRNA from 1 species
UACGGGGGGGGUAAGCGUUGUUCGGAAUUACUGGGCGUAAAGGGCUCGUAGGCGGCCAACUAAGUCAGACGUGAAAUCCCUCAGCUUAACUGGGGAACUGCGUCUGAUACUGGAUGGCUUGGAUUCGGGAGAGGAAUGCGGAAUUCCAGGUGUAGCGGUGAAAUGCGUAGAUAUCUGGAGGAACACCGGUGGCGAAGGCGGCAUUCUGGACCGAUAUUGACGCUGAGGAGCGAAGGCCAGGGGAGCAAACGGG